CUACGGAACUCCUACGGGAGGCAGCAGUGGGGAAUAUUGGACAAUGGGCGAAAGCCUGAUCCAGCCAUGCCGCGUGUGUGAAGAAGGUCUUCGGAUUGUAAAGCACUUUAAGUUGGGAGGAAGGGCAGUAAGCUAAUACCUUGCUGUUUUGACGUUACCGACAGAAUAAGCACCGGCUAACUCUGUGCCAGCAGCCGCGGUAAUACAGAGGGUGCAAGCGUUAAUCGGAAUUACUGGGCGUAAAGCGCGCGUAGGUGGUUUGUUAAGUUGAAUGUGGAAUCCCCGGGCUCAACCUGGGAACUGCAUCCAAAACUGGCAAGCUAGAGUAUGGUAGAGGGUAGUGGAAUUUCCUGUGUAGCGGUGAAAUGCGUAGAUAUAGGAAGGAACACCAGUGGCGAAGGCGACUACCUGGACUGAUACUGACACUGAGGUGCGAAAGCGUGGGGAGCAAACAGGAUUAGAUACCCCGGUAGUCCUCUUCGA
rnacentral:rRNA from 1 species